AUUGAACGCUGGCGGCAUGCCUUACACAUGCAAGUCGAACGGCAGCACGGGUGCUUGCACCUGGUGGCGAGUCGCGAACGGGUGAGUAAUACAUCGGAACAUGUCCUGUAGUGGGGGAUAGCCCGGCGAAAGCCGGAUUAAUACCGCAUACGAUCUACGGAUGAAAGCGGGGGACCUUCGGGCCUCGCGCUAUAGGGUUGGCCGAUGGCUGAUUAGCUAGUUGGUGGGGUAAAGGCCUACCAAGGCGACGAUCAGUAGCUGGUCUGAGAGGACGACCAGCCACACUGGGACUGAGACACGGCCCAGACUCCUACGGGAGGCAGCAGUGGGGAAUUUUGGACAAUGGGCGAAAGCCUGAUCCAGCAAUGCCGCGUGUGUGAAGAAGGCCUUCGGGUUGUAAAGCACUUUUGUCCGGAAAGAAAUCCUUGGCCCUAAUACGGUCGGGGGAUGACGGUACCGGAAGAAUAAGCACCGGCUAACUACGUG
rnacentral:rRNA from 1 species